GGCCGCCCGCGGGGCGAGGAGGGAGAGGCUGCUUCCUUGCCCGCCACCUCAACGCGCCGCAGAACCUAAAGCCUACGGAUGAAAAGGGAAAGGGUGGUGAAGGAGGGCGCGAGUCCCUGAGUCAUUGCCCUCGGAGCCCCCCUUGUUCAUUUUUUCAUUUGAAAUACCGUUUCCUUCCACCCAGUUGGAAAUUAUUCUGAUUGUUUCCUGGGGAAGCCCGGGGUCUAAGGCCCCAAAUCCAAACGAGGAAUUUCUGAAAGACGGGGUGGGGGUGGGAUUCAAGAACUACCUUGCUCCGAAAAACCUGCAUUUGUGAGGUAGAAGGCAAUUUUUCCUUUUUCUGCAUGGAAACAGGAAAAUUUUUUUGGCCCUUUUCCUUUACCAUCUACUUUCACCCUCCUGAAUGUAAAGUCUGAGCGGGAACUUUAGAUGUGUCGGUAACUCACAUUCUUACACCCGUCCCCCCCUCCCCCCGCCCCCUUUUAACCACUGCUGUUUUUUUCUUUAUUGUUUAUACCUUUAAAAAAAAUAUGUUUCAAAUGAACUUACUACAGUCAAAGCAGCUCUGUUACAUAUGAGAGAGGGCAUAAAGAGCAAAGACCCUGGCUCCAAAAGAAAUAGACAAGA
rnacentral:lncRNA from 1 species